rnacentral:rRNA from 1 species
AGUAAAUAGAUACCCGGGUAGUCCGCGCCGUAAACGAUGAAUACUAGGUGUAGGAGGUAUCGACUCCUUCUGUGCCGCAGUUAAACACAAUAAGUAUUCCGCCUGGGGAGUACGGUCGCAAGAUUAAAACUCAAAGGAAUUGACGGGGGCCCGCACAAGCAGCGGAGCAUGUGGUUUAAAUUCGAAGCAACGCGAAGAACCUUACCUAGACUUGACAUCUUCUGCAUUAAUCGUAAUGGAUGAAAUCCCUUCGGGGACAGAAUGACAGGUGGUGCAUGGUUGUCGUCAGCUCGUGUCGUGAGAUGUUGGGUUAAGUCCCGCAACGAGCGCAACCCCAUUAUUAGUUGCUAACAUUAAGUUGAGCACUCUAGUGAGACUGCCCGGGUUAACCGGGAGGAAGGUGGGGAUGACGUCAAAUCAUCAUGCCCCUUAUGUCUAGGGCUACACACGUGCUACAAUGGUGGGAACAAAGAGAUGCAAUACCGCGAGGUGGAGCUAAACUACAAAA